AUUGAACGCUGGCGGCAGGCCUAACACAUGCAAGUCGAGCGGAUGAAGGGGGCUUGCUCCUGGAUUCAGCGGCGGACGGGUGAGUAAUGCCUAGGAAUCUGCCUGGUAGUGGGGGAUAACGUCCGGAAACGGGCGCUGAUACCGCAUACGUCCUGAGGGAGAAAGUGGGGGAUCUUCGGACCUCACGCUAUCAGAUGAGCCUAGGUCGGAUUAGCUAGUUGGUGGGGUAAAGGCCUACCAAGGCGACGAUCCGUAACUGGUCUGAGAGGAUGAUCAGUCACACUGGAACUGAGACACGGUCCAGACUCCUACGGGAGGCAGCAGUGGGGAAUAUUGGACAAUGGGCGAAAGCCUGAUCCAGCCAUGCCGCGUGUGUGAAGAAGGUCUUCGGAUUGUAAAGCACUUUAAGUUGGGAGGAAGGGCAGUAAGUUAAUACCUUGCUGUUUUGACGUUACCAACAGAAUAAGCACCGGCUAACUUCGUG
rnacentral:rRNA from 1 species